CGGCUUGCCUCGACACGCCUAGGCGCCCUCCGGCUCCGCCCUAGCCGCCGCGUCCCAGCUAGAGCUCCAGCGCCCGCUCAGGCCCCACUCGACCUCUCGGGCCUCGGCUACUUGGACUGCGGCGGAAUAUGGCGGCUCCGAUGACUCCCGCGGCUCGGCCCGAGGACUACGAGGCGGCGCUCAAUGCCGCCCUGGCUGACGUGCCCGAACUGGCCAGACUCCUGGAGAUCGACCCGUACUUGAAGCCCUACGCCGUGGACUUCCAGCGCAGGUAUAAGCAGUUUAGCCAAAUUUUGAAGAACAUUGGAGAAAAUGAAGGUGGUAUUGAUAAGUUUUCCAGAGGCUAUGAAUCAUUUGGCGUCCACAGAUGUGCUGAUGGUGGUUUAUACUGCAAAGAAUGGGCCCCGGGAGCAGAAGGAGUUUUUCUUACUGGAGAUUUUAAUGGUUGGAAUCCAUUUUCGUACCCAUACAAAAAACUGGAUUAUGGAAAAUGGGAGCUGUAUAUCCCACCAAAGCAGAAUAAAUCUGUACUCGUGCCUCAUGGAUCCAAAUUAAAGGUAGUUAUUACUAGUAAAAGCGGAGAGAUCUUGUAUCGUAUUUCACCGUGGGCAAAGUAUGUGGUUCGUGAAGGUGAUAAUGUGAAUUAUGAUUGGAUACACUGGGAUCCAGAACACUCAUAUGAGUUUAAGCAUUCCAGACCAAAGAAGCCACGGAGUCUAAGAAUUUAUGAAUCUCAUGUGGGAAUUUCUUCCCAUGAAGGAAAAGUAGCUUCUUAUAAACAUUUUACAUGCAAUGUACUACCAAGAAUCAAAGGCCUUGGAUACAACUGCAUUCAGUUGAUGGCAAUCAUGGAGCAUGCUUACUAUGCCAGCUUUGGUUACCAAAUCACAAGCUUCUUUGCAGCUUCCAGCCGUUAUGGAACACCUGAAGAGCUACAAGAACUGGUAGACACAGCUCAUUCCAUGGGUAUCAUAGUCCUCUUAGAUGUGGUACACAGCCAUGCUUCAAAAAAUUCAGCAGAUGGAUUGAAUAUGUUUGAUGGGACAGAUUCCUGUUAUUUUCAUUCUGGACCUAGAGGGACUCAUGAUCUUUGGGAUAGCAGAUUGUUUGCCUACUCCAGCUGGGAAAUUUUAAGAUUCCUUCUGUCAAACAUAAGAUGGUGGUUGGAAGAAUAUCGCUUUGAUGGAUUUCGUUUUGAUGGUGUUACGUCCAUGCUUUAUCAUCACCAUGGAGUGGGUCAAGGUUUCUCAGGUGAUUACAGUGAAUAUUUCGGACUACAAGUAGAUGAAGAUGCCUUGACUUACCUCAUGUUGGCAAAUCAUUUGGUUCACACGCUGUGUCCCGAUUCUAUAACAAUAGCUGAGGAUGUAUCAGGAAUGCCAGCUCUGUGCUCUCCAAUUUCCCAGGGAGGGGGUGGUUUUGACUAUCGACUAGCCAUGGCAAUUCCAGAUAAGUGGAUUCAGCUACUUAAAGAGUUUAAAGAUGAAGACUGGAACAUGGGCGAUAUAGUAUACACGCUCACAAACAGGCGCUACCUUGAAAAGUGCAUUGCUUAUGCAGAGAGCCAUGAUCAGGCAUUGGUUGGGGAUAAGUCGCUGGCAUUUUGGUUGAUGGAUGCCGAAAUGUAUACAAACAUGAGUGUCCUGACUCCUUUUACUCCAGUUAUUGAUCGUGGAAUACAGCUUCAUAAAAUGAUUCGACUCAUUACGCAUGGGCUUGGUGGAGAAGGCUAUCUCAAUUUCAUGGGUAAUGAAUUUGGGCAUCCUGAAUGGUUAGACUUCCCAAGAAAAGGAAAUAAUGAGAGUUACCAUUAUGCCAGGCGGCAGUUUCAUUUAACUGACGACGACCUUCUUCGCUACAAGUUCCUAAAUAAUUUUGACAGGGAUAUGAAUAGAUUGGAAGAAAGAUAUGGUUGGCUUGCAGCUCCACAGGCCUACGUGAGUGAAAAACAUGAAGGCAAUAAGAUCAUUGCUUUUGAAAGAGCAGGUCUUCUUUUCAUUUUCAACUUCCAUCCAAGCAAGAGCUACACUGACUACCGAGUUGGAACAGCAUUGCCAGGGAAAUAUCCUUUUUGUUACCAGUGAAUAUGACUGUCCACAUUCACUUCUUUAUUACAUUAUAGGACAAAAAAAAAAAAAAGACUAAGGUUGAUCUUGAUGACAGAAACAUUCAUUUUCCUCAUCUGAAAAAUGAGGAACUUAAAAUAGUUGAUGGAUAAAUCUUUGCUCGACUCAGUUAUACUGAAUUAUUCCUAAGCUUCAUUUUGGGUUUAAACAGAGGGGUUAGUGCAGACGUGGUUCACAUCAAAGGAAAGAGCUGUGGAUCUUGCUGUCCUGAAGGUUUCACUAUGGAGCCCUGCUCUCCAGGUCCCCACAUCCACCAAUACAGAAGACAAUAAAUGAAGUCUUCUGAGAUAAUAGCAGAGGCUCUGGACUUAGGGGACCAGGCUUUAAAAAGUAUAACUGAAUAUUUCUUAAAUAAUAUUUCUUAAAUAAUAUUUAGAGCAGCAAUAUGGGAGACGAUUGUAGUUUUACUCUAUGAAAAUAUUUUGUAAGUUACCUCUGAGACUUGUUUCUUUUCCUCCACUCAGUGGGAGAGAGCAAACAGUAGUUGUAAUGAUAGUGUCCUUCCUUUUUCUGUUUCUUCUCCUAAAAUUCAAGACACAGCAUACCUUUGUAGGCCUGAAUUGGUAAGAAGGCAAGGCAGGGGAGGUGUGAGCAGUAGAAAUAACCAGGGAGAAUGUUUUUGAUGUUCUCUAUGUAUUCAUUUACUCCUUUUUUCAUGCAUUUUACAGAUACUUACUGAGUACCUAUUUACUGAACACCUUAUAGAUACUUACUGAGUACCUAUUUACUGAACACCUCUGUGACAGCUCUGAGCUGAUUACUGUAAAUAUAGGAAUUCUCCUAGCAGAUACAGUCACUGCCGUCAUAGAGCUUUUAAACUAGUAAAGAAGAUAAAUAUUAGGCAUUGUAAGUUUGAUAAUUAUUACAAAGGAAAUGUACAGUACAUUUUAAAGACAUGUUACUAGAUCCAUGAAAAAAAUGACAGAUUCAGGACCUAGCAAUAAAUCAGCACAAUUUUUCAAGCAGGCAAUAGAAAUAAUGUGCUUGCCCCCUGAAGCCCUAACAAUGAUUAGCAUCUGCCACCUGAGCAAGGUGCCUGAUGCCAACAUGAAGUCCUAUGUGUCAGGGUGGCUCCAGCUACAAUAAAGAAACCCUCCUACUCAGCUGGCUCAAAUAAUAAGGAAAAUGUAUUUGUCACAUAAUAAAAACCCUAACGUCUAGUUUCCCCAGCACUUGUGACAGUAUCAAGUUCCCCAGUUCAUUCUUUUUGCUUUCAAUUCUCAGGGUGCCAGCAAUGUCCAAAUGGUGGCACCUGUUACUAAUCAUUAGAUAAGAGCCAUGACUCCAAGUGUCACCCACCUUCAGAUACAACAAAAUGCAAACAGAUUUUUUUGUGCAUCUCUUCAAGAAUAAACUUACUUCUUUAGCAAAAUUUCUUUCAUAUUUUAUUGACCAGAGUUGGGUCUCACAUCUCCCAGAAAAAUUUUCUAGGAAGAAGAAUGAUAUUAACAUGAGUGGCUUAAUCAGGAAUUACCCCUGAGUCUCAGGAAGACAUCCCUUGAUGAAGUGGACACCCAGACAGAAUUUUACUCUGACAGUAAGAAGAAAACAGACAGUGCUUUUUACUCAGUUGUGCAAUGAUGGUCUCUUCACUUCAGAAAGUCAUCUAACAAUAGCCCAGUCAAAAUUUCUGUCUUCUAUUUCUUGCCCUUCUGGAGGAAAAAUAUAUCAGAAAUAUUGUCAUAACCUUUAAAGAAGACAGUGCAUAAUCACCUAGUAAUAGUAUCCUUCAUUGGGGUUUGGGGGGGAGGAACAUUUGUGCCCAAGGUGAUCAUUUUCAUCAAUUUUUAAAAAGGAGAUACUAUUAUGUGUUUGUAAACUUCGAGAUGGAUGAUAAGACAGAGUAUUACCUAUAUAUCAACAAUGAUAUGUUUACUUAGAAUACACUAGGUACCUGUAAACAGAGAGCUAAAUCUCUGAUAGGAGUAUGGAUAGAGGGGUUGAUGAACUGAUAGACUGACUGACAGAUGGAAGGAUGGAUGGAUAAAUGGAGUAUGUAGCUACCUAGUGGUGAAAUAACUCCUGAAGGUUUAAAAUUAUGUAAUUAAAAGACAAAUAGUACUAAAAUGAUUUGCUUCUCCCUUAAAACAGUAAUUUAAUUAAAUGGUAUAAAAAUUGAUAAGCUAUUAUCAAUAAAAUACAUCAUAAUUUUGUAGAAUUCACAAUUAAUAUAUUAUUAUACUAUGAUGUGCUUGCUGAGCAGAUCUUCAUAAUAAGAUCUACUGUCUCUUAUAAACUUAAUAUAUGUCCUGCACUCUGAAAGUAUUUUAUACUCAUUACCACAUUAGCUAACCAUUUCUUUUCCUAGACUGCAAAUAUGGAAGAAGGCAAUCUACAGGCAUAACUUGGAGACAGUGCAGAUUGGGUUCCAGACCACUGGAAUAAAGCAAAUAUUGCAAUAUAGCAAGUCACACAAAUUUUUUGGUUCACAAUACAUAUAGAAGUUAUGUUUAUACUAUACUGUAGUCUAAUAAGUGUGCAAUAGCCUUAUGUCUAAAAAAAAAUGUACAUGCCAUAAUUUAAAAAUACUGUAUGCUAAAAGAUGUUAAUGGUCAUCUGAGCCUUCUGUAAGUAAUAAUCUUUUUGCUCAUGGAGGCUCUUGCCUUGAUGUUAAUGGCUCCUGACUGAUCAGGGUGGGGUUUCUAAAGGUUGUGGUGGCUAAGACAACAAUGAAGUUUAUUACAUGGAUUGACUCUUCCUUUUAUGAAAGAUUUCUCUGUAACAUGUGAUGCUGUUUGGUAACAUUUUACCCACAGUAGAACUCUUUCAAAAUUAGAGUGAAUCCUCUGAAACCCCACCACUUAGUUGAUAAAGAUUACCUAGGUUUAUAUUAUAUUCCAAAUCAUUUGUUGCCAUCUCUGGCAUCUUCAUCAGUAAUAGACUCCAUCUCAAGAAACCAUAUUCUUUGCUCAUCUGUAAGAAGCAAUUCCUCAUCCAUUAAAGUUUUAUCACGAGACUGCAGCAAUUCAGUCACGUCUUUAGGUUUCACUUCUAAUUCUAGUUAUCUUUCAAUUUCCACUGCAUCUGCAGUUAGUUCUUCCACUGAAGUCUUGAGUUUCUCAAAGUCAUCUAUGAGAGUUGGAAUUAACUUCUUCCAAACUCCUAUUGUGUUGAUAUUUUAACCUCCUCCCAUGAAUCACAAAUGUUCUUAAUGGCAUCUAGAAUGGUGAAUCCUUUCCAGAAGAUUUUCAAUUUGCUUUGCCGAGAUUCAUUAGAGGAAUCACUGCUUAUGACAGCUAUAGUCUUACAAAAUAUAUUUCUUAAUAAGAGUUGAAAGUUGAAAUUACUUCUUGAUCCAUAGGGUGCAGAGUGCAUGUUGUAUUAGAUGGCUUGAAAACAACAUUAAUUUCCUUGUACAUCUCAGUCAGAGCUCUUGGGUGACCAGAUGCUUUCAUCAAUCAGGUAAUAUUUGAAAGGAAUCUUUUUUCUGAGAAAUAGGUCUCAAGCUUGGGCUUACAGGCUCAGUAAACCAUGCUGUAAACAGACAUGCUGUCAUCCAGGCUUUGUGGUUACAUUUAUAGAGCACAAGCAGAGUAGACUUUAGCAUAAUUCAUAAGGGCAUAGGUUUUUGGAAACAGUAAAUGAACAUUGGCUUCAACUCAAAGUCACCAGCUGCAUUAGCCCAUAACAAGAGAGUCAUCCUGUUCUUUGGAACUUUGAAACCAGAUACUGUCUUCCCAGUAGUUAUGAAAGUCCCAGAUGGCAUCUUUCAAUGGAAGCCUGCUUCAUCUACACUGAAAAUCCAUUGUUUAGUGUAGUCACGUUUAUCAAUAUCCUAGCUAGAUCUUCUGGAAAACUUGCUACAGCUUCUACAUCAGCACUUGCUACUUCACCUUAAAAUUUUAUGUUAUGAAGAUGUCUUUAUUCCUUAAACCUUAAGAACCAGUCUCUCCUAGCUUUAAACUUUUCUUCUGCAGCUUCCUCACCUCUCCCAGCCUUCAUAGAAUUGAAGAGAGCUAGGGCCUUGCUGGAUUAGGCUUUGACUUAUGGGAAUGUUGUGGCUAGUUUGAUCUUAGAUCCAGACCACCAAAAACUUCUUCCUAUCAGCAGUAGGCUGGUGUUCACUGUCCUAUCACUCAUGCGUUCACUAGAGUAGCACUUCUUAUUUCUUUGAAGAACUUUUCCUUUGCGUUCACAACUUGGCUAACUCUUUGGCAUAAGGGACCUAGCCUUUGUCCUGUCUCAACUUUGAACAUGCCUUUCUCACUAAGCUUAAUCAUUUCUAGUUUUUGAUUUAAAGUGAGAGACAUGCCCCUCUUCUUUUCAUUUGAACUCCUAGAGGCUAUUGUAGGGUUAUUAAUUGGGCUAAAUUCUAUAUGGUCUUAGACAAUACGGAGGCCCAAGAAAAGGGGAAGAGACAAGGGAACGGCCAGUAGGUUGGAGGAGUCAACACACACAUUUAUUAAGUUUGUGGUUGCAUAUGUGCAUGAUUUGUGGUGCCCCAAAACAAUUACAAUAGUAACAAGGAUCACUGGUCACAGAUCAUCAUCAUAGACAUAAUGAUAAUGUAAAAAUAAUAUAAUUAUGAAUAGACAAUCAUAUAUUAAUAUAUAUUAAUAAUGAAAAAGUUUGAAAUAAUGCAAGAACUACCAAAAUGUGACACAGAGACACAAAGUGAACACAUGCUAUUGGAAAAUGGCACGAAUACACUUGCUGGAUGCAGCGUUGCUACAAAUCUUCAAUUUGUAAAAAUGUGUAUUUGUAAAGUGCAAUAAAGUGCGAUAAAAUGAGCUAUGCUGGUGCAGUAGUAUCAUUGGCCUGAAAGAUUUCACAUUGAGCCUUUCCUUUUAAAGUUAGGCUUUACUUAAUUUAUCCAAAAUAUAUGUUUUUUUUUCUAUUUAAAAAAUAAAUUGUAUUAGUCAUCUUUAUACCUGAUACCAGUGUGUUUUAAAUAGAGCAUUCUAUGUCUAAACUAAAUUUAUGACAUGGAUGUUAUAUUACUUUUCCUUCUGGCCAGUAGAAAUUACCUUUUUCAAUGAGUAUCUCCUGCCUGCCUACGUGAGAUAUUAUUCGUGUUUCUGACAUUUUCCGUGAAGCUCUUCUUAAUCAGAAUCUCACAGGAUCAAACUGAGUGGUCAGUGUUUUAUUUACAUAAAAGUAUUACCUGAGUAUCCCAGAUGAUUUCUUAAAAUUAAGAUGUGAUAUAAUUACUGGCUCGCUAAAAUUACCUACGGGCUCCUAAGCAUUUUUGAAAGCUGCAACCAAAAGAAGUUUCUGUUUCUCAGAGAAAGUUGGAAAUAUUAGAGCCAAAAACAGUGUGUUCUUGGAAGCAGUGGAUUCAGUUGUAAUCAUGCAUAAGAACCAUCUCUAAUUCUAUUAAUGUAGUUUCUGUUGGCCUAAUGAUGGGAAAAUGCCUAAUUAAUUCCUAUAAAUAAGCAUUAAUUUACAAAAUUAAUUAUGGUUAUUUUUUGUAGUUAUGUGGUAUCAGCUGUUGAAUAAGGAAAGUGUUUAGAUAAUAUCAAAUAAAAUUAUUUAAUUAACAUAUAACUGAAUGAAAUGAUUACACUCAGUACGUUUUAUUGUCACACAAUGAUCAUUUUAUUUCAAGAACAUUAAUUAAAAUGAAAAAUUAUUAUGUUUGUAUGUAAAAUUAUAAACAUUACUGGGUUUUUUUUUCUCAUGUGUUCUUUAUUAUUUAGAGAGAGAGCCAAUUUUCACUUUGCCAGCCUCCCUAUUAACAUCUGUCCUUUUUGCCAGCUGAAGAAAACAAAGGAAAAACAAUUUUCUCCUGUAGUAGCAUUAUUUUCUAAUUCUGAAACAUUAUUUUCUUCAGUUUGUUCUCUACUUCUAACAUUUUUAUUUCCCAUUGGCUCAUGUAACAAAGGUCUCCAGAGGUAAUAGGUAUUUCUUGUUCUUAUAUUUGUAAACAUAAAGAAAUUUGCUCUCAUUGCAAGGAUAGUGGUUAGCUUGAGCUCUAGAAUAUUGACUAUCUGAGGUUCAAGUUCCAUCUCUGCCACUUAGUUUUGUUUUGAAAAUAGCCUCUUUGUUUCUUGGUUAUUAUCUCUAGAACACCUAUUCAUAGAAUUGUUGUCAGAAUUAAAUUAGUUCAUGAUUAGUUAACAUGCAUGCAAGGCUUAACAACAGUGUCGCCCACGUUUGAGCUUAGCAAGUAGUAAGGGUAAUGGACAUCCUUACUGUCAUCAUCUUCUAAAAAUGCAUUAGAAACUUUAUAAUAAAAAUGAAUUUUUAUAAAAAAGAAAGACAAAUAGGUACUAAUCCUGUCUGUUGUCUUUUUUCUAUUGUCCUACUUUUUGUUUUUUGUUUUUUUUUUGGGGGAACAAAACAAUAAA